GGUGGGUGGAUAUGGGAGACUUUUGGUAUAGCAUUGGAAAUGUAAAUGAGUUAAAUACCUAAUAAAAAAUGGAAAAAAAAUAUCUAAUAAAAACUAAAAUAAAUUAUUAAAAAAAAAAAAAAAGAAAGAAAGAAAUUACACCCAGGAAGGAGAGAGGUUAAGGGCACUGGAUACUCUUGUAGAAGUCCUGAGUGAUUCCCAGCAAUCACAUGAUGUGACCUGGUGCUGUCUUCUGGCCCGCAGGUAUAUGUGCGGGGAGACCAUGUGUAUACAUGACAUGUAUAUAACAUGUAUAUAGUAAAUCUUAAAAAUGCAUCCUGAAAACUGGUAGGUGUAACAUUUCCAAGGUUAGUGUUACUUAUUCCGUGAUAUAAAAAUGUAGUGGCAAAAGGGAAAAAGAAGCCCUAAUAACUUUUUCAAGCACUUUGCUGUGCCCUGCCCAGAACUCCAAUGUUCCAUACUUUGGUUGCUGGGAACAAGGGGACAAUUAUUGGAGCUUAUUGGCCAGCAAAGCUCAGUAAGCACCCAGUUCAAUUAAGACUGCCUCAUCAGGUGGCUCACAACUGCUUCUCAUUCCAGCCCCAAAAGGUCAGACACAUUCUUCUGGUCUACAAACAAGCGAAGUGUUACCAUGUAGCCUAAUCUAGCACUCAUCUAUGAGAUUAAAACUUGACAGGCCCAGUGGUCAUUCCUUUUUCCUCCUAGAUUACAUUCAUAUUUGUGGGAGAGAGGCAUAUCACAGUGCAUUUAUGAAGUCAGAGGACAACUUGUAGGAAGGAGUCAAUUGUCUCUUCUUCCACCAUGUGGCAAGUAUCUUUAAUGUGGUGGUUUGAGUAGGCACAGUCCCUAGACUGUUUUUGACUGCUCGGCCAUAGGUAAUUGCACUGUCAGUAAGUGUGGUCUUGGUGUGAAGUGUCACUGUGGGAACAGGCUUUGAGGUGUCCUAUACUCAAACCACACCCAGUGUGGCACACACAUCUUUUUCUGCUUAGAACUCACAACUCCUUAGCCAGCACCAUAUCUUCCUGUACUGUGCCAUGUUUCUCACCAUAAUGGACUAAAUAAUGACUAUAAGCCAGCCCCAAUUAAAUGUUCUCCUUUUUUAGAGUUGCCAUGGUCAGAGUCUCUUAACAGCAAUAAAACUCUAAGAUACCCAAUGAACUUCUUAUUGGCCAAGUCCUAUUUAUUUUGCAGAGCAGACAGACACUAGGCAUUUAUCCUAAGAAGCAAAAAUUCUGUUCCAUGCAACCCUCCCAGCACUAAACAGCUCAAAUAAAUCUUUCCCAGACUUGCCUAUAACCCAGCAAACAUGAACUGCAGUGCAAUGGCUGAGAGGACAGCAGGGCUUGGGUCUGCUUUUCAAUCU
rnacentral:lncRNA from 1 species